GGAGAGGUGGCUCAGUGGUUAAGAGCAUUUGCUGCUCUUGCAGAGGACCUGGGUUCAGAUCCCAUCAAUCCA
rnacentral:tRNA from 1 species